rnacentral:rRNA from 1 species
CUACGGGUGGCAGCAGUGGGGAAUAUUGGACAAUGGGGGCAACCCUGAUCCAGCCAUGCCGCGUGUGUGAAGAAGGCCUUUUGGUUGUAAAGCACUUUAAGCAGGGAGGAGAGGCUAAUGGUUAAUACCCAUUAGAUUAGACGUUACCUGCAGAAUAAGCACCGGCUAAGUCUGUGCCAGCAGCCGCGGUAAUACAGAGGGUGCGAGCGUUAAUCGGAAUUACUGGGCGUAAAGCGAGUGUAGGUGGCUCAUUAAGUCACAUGUGAAAUCCCCGGGCUUAACCUGGGAACUGCAUGUGAUACUGGUUGUGCUAGAAUAUGUGAGAGGGAAGUAGAAUUCCAGGUGUAGCGGUGAAAUGCGUAGAGAUCUGGAGGAAUACCGAUGGCGAAGGCAGCUUCCUGGCAUAAUAUUGACACUGAGAUUCGAAAGCGUGGGUAGCAAACAGGAUUAGAUACCCCUGUAGUC